CCUACGGGGGGCACCAGUGGGGAAUAUUGCACAAUGGGCGCAAGCCUGAUGCAGCCAUGCCGCGUGUAUGAAGAAGGCCUUCGGGUUGUAAAGUACUUUCAGCAGGGAGGAAGGUAUUGUGGUUAAUAACCGCAGCAAUUGACGUUACCCGCAGAAGAAGCACCGGCUAACUCCGUGCCAGCAGCCGCGGUAAUACGGAGGGUGCAAGCGUUAAUCGGAAUUACUGGGCGUAAAGCGCACGCAGGAGGUCUGUCAAGUCGGAUGUGAAAUCCCCGGGCUCAACCUGGGAACUGCAUUCGAAACUGGCAGGCUAGAGUCUUGUAGAGGGGGGUAGAAUUCCAGGUGUAGCGGUGAAAUGCGUAGAGAUCUGGAGGAAUACCGGUGGCGAAGGCGGCCCCCUGGACAAAGACUGACGCUCAGGUGCGAAAGCGUGGGGAGCAAACAGGAUUAGAUACCCUCGUAGUC
rnacentral:rRNA from 1 species